UGGGGAAUAUUGCACAAUGGGCGCAAGCCUGAUGCAGCCAUGCCGCGUGUGUGAAGAAGGCCUUCGGGUUGUAAAGCACUUUCAGCGAGGAGGAAGGUGGUGAGCUUAAUACGCUCAUCAAUUGACGUUACUCGCAGAAGAAGCACCGGCUAACUCCGUGCCAGCAGCCGCGGUAAUACGGAGGGUGCAAGCGUUAAUCGGAAUUACUGGGCGUAAAGCGCACGCAGGCGGUUUGUUAAGUCAGAUGUGAAAUCCCCGGGCUCAACCUGGGAACUGCAUUUGAAACUGGCAAGCUAGAGUCUCGUAGAGGGGGGUAGAAUUCCAGGUGUAGCGGUGAAAUGCGUAGAGAUCUGGAGGAAUACCGGUGGCGAAGGCGGCCCCCUGGACGAAGACUGACGCUCAGGUGCGAAAGCGUGGGGCAGCAAACAGGAUUAGAUACCCUGGUAGUCCACGCUGUAAAACGAUGUCGAUUUUGGAGGUUGUGCCCUUGAGGCGUGGGCUUCCGGAGCUAACGCGUUAAAUCGACCGCCUGGGGAGUACGGCCGCAAGGUUAAAACUUAAAUGAAUUG
rnacentral:rRNA from 1 species